rnacentral:rRNA from 1 species
GAUCCUACGGGGCGCAGCAGUGAGGAAUAUUGGUCAAUGGUCGGGAGACUGAACCAGCCAAGCCGCGUGAGGGAUGAAGGUACCGAGUAUCGUAAACCUCUUUUGUCAGGGAACAAAGGCGGGGACGCGUCCCCGGAUGAGUGUACCUGAAGAAAAAGCAUCGGCUAACUCCGUGCCAGCAGCCGCGGUAAUACGGAGGAUGCGAGCGUUAUCCGGAUUUAUUGGGUUUAAAGGGUGCGCAGGCGGGCUGUUAAGACAGCGGUCCAAGCCCGGGGCUCAACCCCGGCCCGCCGUUGAAACUGGCG